GAUCCUGGCUCAGAAUGAACGCUGGCGGCAUGGAUUAGGCAUGCAAGUCGAACGUGAAUCUGGCCUUCGGGCCGGAUGAAAGUGGCGAAAGGGUGAGUAACACGUGAGUAACCUGCCCCUGAGUUUGGAAUAGGCCCGGGAAACCGGGAUUAAUUCCGGAUGAGGCGCUGUUCCGCCUGGAACAGUCGCUAAAGGCUUCGGUCGCUCGGGGAUGGGCUCGCGGCCCAUCAGCUAGUUGGCGGGGUAACGGCCCACCAAGGCGUCGACGGGUAGCUGGUCUGAGAGGAUGGUCAGCCACACUGGGACUGAGACACUGCCCAGACUCCUACGGGAGGCUGCAGUCGAGAAUCAUCCGCAAUGGGCGAAAGCCUGACGGUGCAAUGCCGCGUGGGGGAUGAAGGCCCUCGGGUCGUAAACUCCUGUCACCCGGGAUAAGAAUGUGACGGUGCCGGGAGAGGAAGCCACGGCUAACUACGUGCCAGCAGCCGCGGUAAUACGUAGGUGGCGAGCGUUAUUCGGAUUCACUGGGCGUAAAGGGUCCGCAGGGGGUCUGCCAAGUCUGGUGUGAAAGCCCGGGGCUCAACCCCGGAAUGGCGCUGGAUACUGGUGGACUAGAGUGCAUGAUGGGAGAGCGGAAUUCCAGGUGUAGCGGUGGAAUGCGUAGAUAUCUGGAAGAACCCCGAUGGCGAAGGCGGCUCUCUGGCAUGCUACUGACCCUCAUGGACGAAAGCGUGGGUAGCGAACAGGAUUAGAUACCCUGGUAGUCCACGCUGUAAACGGUGUGCACUAGAUGUGGGGGGUCCCUUGGUCCCUUCCGUGUCCAAGCUAACGCGUUAAGUGCACCGCCUGGGGACUACGGCCGCAAGGCUAAAACUCAAAGGAAUUGACGGGGGCCCGCACAAGCGGUGGAGCAUGUGGCUUAAUUCGAGGCAACGCGAAGAACCUUACCAGGGCUUGACAUAUACUGGACAACCUGUGAAAGCAGGUCUCCUUUCGGGGCCGGUAUACAGGUGCUGCAUGGCUGUCGUCAGCUCGUGCCGUGAGGUGUUCGGUUAAGUCCGGCAACGAGCGCAACCCGUGUCAUUAGUUGCUACCAGGUCAAGCUGGGCACUCUAGUGAGACUGCCCGUGUCAAGCGGGAGGAAGGCGCGGAUGACGUCAAGUCCGUAUGGCCCUUACGUCCUGGGCUGCACGCGUGCUACAAUGGGCGGUACAGAGGGAAGCAAGACCGCGAGGUGGAGCAAAUCCGGAAAACCGUCCCCAGUUCGGAUUGGAGUCUGCAAUUCGACUCCAUGAAGCCGGAAUCGCUAGUAAAGGCGUAUCAGCAACGGCGCCUUGAAUACGUUCCCGGGCCUUGUACACACCGCCCGUCACAUCAUGGAAGCUGGCUGCACCCGAAGUCGCUGAUCCCGCUUCGGCGGGAAGGUGCCGAAGGUGUGUCCAGUGACUGGGAUGAAGUCGUAACAAGGUA
rnacentral:rRNA from 1 species